AGCUCCAAUAGCGUAUAUUAAAGUUGUUGCAGUUAAAAAGCUCGUAGUUGGAUUUCUGGCAUAAAUGAGUAGCACAUCUUAACUGAUUGUAGCCACUUCAUAAUGCCAUUUAUCUGAUAGUUUUGUGCUUCGCUGUGCAAUUCACAUCAGAUCAUUUACUUUGAGUAAAUUAGAGUGUUUCAAGCAAGUUACUGCUAUGAAUACUGCAGCAUGGAAUAAUAAGAUAGGACAUUGGAUCUAUUUUAUUGGUUUUGAGAGCCGAUGUAAUGAUUAAUAGGAACAGUUGGGGGCAUUCGUAUUCAACAGCUAGAGGUGAAAUUCUUAGAUUUGUUGAAGACGAACUACAGCGAAAGCAUUUGCCAAGGAUGUUUUCA
rnacentral:rRNA from 1 species